UACGUAGGUCCCAAGCGUUGUCCGGAUUUAUUGGGCGUAAAGCGAGCGCAGGCGGUUAGAUAAGUCUGAAGUUAAAGGCUGUGGCUUAACCAUAGUACGCUUUGGAAACUGUUUAACUUGAGUGCAAGAGGGGAGAGUGGAAUUCCAUGUGUAGCGGUGAAAUGCGUAGAUAUAUGGAGGAACACCGGUGGCGAAAGCGGCUCUCUGGCUUGUAACUGACGCUGAGGCUCGAAAGCGUGGGGAGCAAACAGG
rnacentral:rRNA from 1 species